rnacentral:sRNA from 1 species
CCAUCAUCUCACCGUCACCAAGGAUACACACGCCGCGUAUUCCAUCUAUUCCUCCUUCAGGAAUGAUGUACCUCAGGAAUCGUCCGUCUCUGUCCAGCAUGUGAAUCUUAUCACCGUUAUAAUCUGUAACGAUGACGUGACCGACAGAAUCAGUGGUUACCGUAGAAGAUGAAAAACCCGAGUACGAGUACCGGAAUAUGCCUAAUCUAUCGACAGCAAUGACUGCGUUUUUCUUCCAGUCAGUUACAAUGAUGUCCCCGUUGACAUUCUCAGCGAUGUAAUAGGCCCAUUUGUACAGAGGUUGACACUGCGAGUCGUACUGGAUUUCCUGGAGAACGGUACCGGUACUGCUGUAUCGGACGACUUUGGACUGAUCGUCUUUACGGAGACAGACCAGUAGAUCACCGGACGCGGCGCUUGUGACGCCGUAUGGCUCCCAGUCCCCGGUAGUGAACAUCGUCACCACAGUGUCGGUGUCAGAUAUCAUUUUUAUGUCUUUAAUUCCUGUGUACACUACUUGUUUGUUGUACAUACAUAAGUACAUGCCGUGGGUAGUAAUGCUGACGGUGUGGUGGAGGUGUCCCUGGAGAUCAAACAACUUCAGUUCAUAACUAGCUCCUCCCAUCCACACCUUGUUAUCCUCGGUAACGGCCAUGUCAUACAGACGAUUUUCCUUUUCACUAGCAGGGAACCCAGUGUCUAUAACAGAAGUAACUGUUGGUACCUCUAAUAUUCUUCUACCCGCCUCGUGUUCCUUUUGCAUGUCAUCCAGUUCCUGGUGAAGUUUCUUCACGGUCUCCUCGAUCUGUUUGUGCCACUUUUCUCCAUGUGCUGUAACUUCAACUUUCUGCUGUUUGUAAAACGAAGAUAUCGAGGACAACAUAUUCGUCGUGUGUUCAAGAAUUUUUUCUAAUUCAUUUUUGGAUGACUGAAGUCGAUCAUUUUCUUUUGCGAUAACUUUUAAAAGUUCUUCAAUUUUAUCGGACAACUCGGACAUCUCGUGCGAUUUGUGUUUGAUUGAUACACAGAGGAUGCAUAUCGGAGCAUCACAAGUGUUGCAGUACGCGGAACAAUCGUUUUGGGGAUGGGAAUCACAGUGGCAUGUGUCGUCAUCAUCCUUGCUGGUGUAAUCUACAAUGUCAUGGCCGUUCUUAGAUUUCACGCGUAGAUGUAUCGUGACACAGGGGUCACAGAGAUUGACCCCGCAUCGUCUGCAGAAAAACGAGACUGGUUGCUGACACAGGUCACAUUCCACCGAAUGCUGGGCUUCAUUUUUUGAUUCCAUCAUCUGCGCACUCUGUGAAAAUAGUAAUCAGAAAUAUUUAAUUAAAUAUCCGAUACAUUGUUUUAGUUCAUAAUUUAUUUUCUGAAAUGUUUAUUAAAUACAUGCCGGUAAAGAUUUUAUGCAAAGCACUUUUAAAACCUAUCCAUUAGAAUUCUAAAAACUGUUAUAUUCAUUUUGAACAAAUCUUCUACUCGUUAGUUUCCACUUUUUUAACACGCCGGUUAUAGCCUAUUAACAAUGUAGAACCAAAAUAUGAUGAAAAAAAAUAACUUUAUAAGAGAAAACCUAUAGCAUA